rnacentral:rRNA from 1 species
AGAGUUGAUCAUGGCUCAGAUUGAACGCUGGCGGCAAGGCUUAACACAUGCAAGUCGAGCGGGGAAAGGUAGCUUGCUACUGGACCUAGCGGCGGACGGGUGAGUAAUGCUUAGGAAUCUGCCUAUUAGUGGGGGGACAACAUUCCGAAAGGAAUGCUAAUACCGCAUACGCCCUACGGGGGAAGGCAGGGGAUCUUCGGACCUUGCGCUAAUAGAUGAGCCUAAGUCGGAUUAGCUAGUUGGUGGGGUAAAGGCCUACCAAGGCGACGAUCUGUAGCGGGUCUGAGAGGAUGAUCCGCCACACUGGGACUGAGACACGGCCCAGACUCCUACGGGAGGCAGCAGUGGGGAAUAUUGGACAAUGGGCGGAAGCCUGAUCCAGCCAUGCCGCGUGUGUGAAAAGAAGGCCUUUUGGUUGUAAAGCACUUUAAGCGAGGAGGAGGCUCCUUUAGCUAAUACCUAAAGUGAGUGGACGUUACUCGCAGAAUAAGCACCGGCUAACUCUGUGCCAGCAGCCGC